rnacentral:rRNA from 1 species
CUCUAUACGGAGUUACAAAAGAAAGUUAUAAAUGAAGCGGUCUGGAAAGGCCCGCCAAAGACGGUAACAGCCCGGUAGUUGAAAUGGCUUUCCCUCCAGAGUGGAUCCUGAGUACGGCGGAACACGUGAAAUUCCGUCGGAAUCCGGGAGGACCAUCUCCCAAGGCUAAAUACUCCCUAGUGACCGAUAGUGAACCAGUACCGUGAGGGAAAGGUGAAAAGCACCCCGGAAGGGGAGUGAAACAGUUCCUGAAACCGUGUGCCUACAAGUAGUUAGAGCCCGUUAAUGGGUGAUAGCGUGCCUUUUGUAGAAUGAACCGGCGAGUUACGAUUUGUUGCAAGGUUAAGCGGAAAAAGCGGAGCCGUAGCGAAAGCGAGUCUGAAUAGGGCGCAUAAGUAACAGGUCGUAGACCCGAAACCAGGUGAUCUACCCAUGUCCAGGAUGAAGGUAAGGUAAUACUUACUGGAGGUCCGAACCCACGCACGUUGAAAAGUGCGGGGAUGAGGUGUGGGUAGCGGAGAAAUUCCAAUCGAACUUGGAGAUAGCUGGUUCUCUCCGAAAUAGCUUUAGGGCUAGCCUCGAGGUAAAGAGUCAUGGAGGUAGAGCACUGUUUGGACUAGGGGCCCUUCUCGGGUUACCGAAUUCAGAUAAACUCCGAAUGCCAUGUACUUAUACUCGGGAGUCAGACUGCGAGUGAUAAGAUCCGUAGUCGAAAGGGAAACAGCCCAGACCACCAGUUAAGGUCCCCAAAUAUAUGUUAAGUGGAAAAGGAUGAGGGGUUGCUUAGACAGCCCGGAAGU